GAGGGUGGUUGGGGGAGUGAUAGUGAGGGGGAUGGUGAGGGGGUAAUAAUACCCCCAUCCCUCACUUACCUGCUCUGUAGGCUGCCUCUGUGCUGCUCCCCUGCGGUUUCAGUCAUGAGCGAGAGGCAAGGAUAAGCUGUAGCUUCCUGCAUUUUAACAUUCACAGCGCCACCUACUGCCGGCGCCGGUAUUGCAGUGUAUUCUCA